rnacentral:sRNA from 1 species
CUUCUGUAACUUGUUGCGGACAGAUAUAGUGCACGUGGGCAUCGAUAGCGCCCGCUGUGACGAGUAACUUUUCGCCGGCAAUGACUUCGGUCGAGGAGCCAAUGACAAGGUGAGGGUCUACUUCAUCCAUCAUGUCUGGAUUUCCAGCUUUUCCAAUACCAACGAUAACGCCUUCCUGUACACCAAUGUCUGCCUGGAGUACAUAAGCAUAUACACUGCGUGGAGAGGGAUCCGGAGAAGACCUACCUUGUAAA